UCAAUCGUUCGCUGGCAACAUUCGGCCGAACGAUUGAAAACUACGUUGAAAACACUACGUUGAAUUGUAUCUUUCGGAACUUUGGAAUCGUCGCACCAGCCGCGUAGGAGGUGCUCGCGGAGGUUAGCUCAAGAAGUGCCCUGUUCUUAGUGCGCCACUAGUUGAAUCCGUGUCCUUGCAAAGUGCACCUCCUCUUGGGGAUACUCGCCUUCUGCUCGAAUUUCGCGACCGUGACCGUGCGAGUGGGUAUCCUAUCCUGGUGUCUCUCGGCGUCGCUGCAGGCGUCAGGCGUCAGUGAGAGCGCGAUUUAAAAAUAAAACGGCAAAUACAUAACAAAAUAUCGAAGAGCAGUCGCCACCGCCGCCGCCAAGCAGCAGAAGCAACACCCAUACACACUCGUGUGGGCCUGCACUGGUGUUUGUGUGCCAAAGUUCCCUCCUAACCAUACUAAACAGAAACACACUCAGACAAACACCGUCUCGUCUCGGUCGCAUGUGAAUGCAUUUUAUGGACGCCCCAGACUCACUUGCCCGCGGAAGCCUCGAUCGGAGCCCUGGUCGGUCCAAGAGCCUCCCCAAAUCGAAACUGUAACAGAGACCGAAGACGAACCACAAUCACACUGAUCACCAUAUCCAUUCAGCUGUCCAACCCAGCCAAGCAUCCACCAUACUCACAAACCAAACCAAACCAAACCAAGCCACACGAAUCAAUCAGAUCAGAUCUCAUCAUCCAUUGGGUAGAGCAAGAGCAUGAGCCUGUGGAAGCGCAUCUCCAGCCAUGCCGACUGCGAGCAGCGUAUGGCGGCCUACUACGAUGAGAAGGGCCUGUUCGACCUGCGCAUCUGCUUGGCGCCCUGGAUCGAAGACAGGAUAAUGUCCGAGCAGAUCACACCCAAUUCCCCGGAGCAGUUGGAGCGAGUGGCCCACAAGUUCAACGAGGAUUUGCAGCAGAAACUCCUCUCGACGCGCACCGCCAGCGACCAGGCCCUCAAGUACCGUGUUGUGGAGCUCUGCGCCCUCAUCCAACGCACCCCCGCCCUUGAGCUCUACACCCAUCUGCGAAGCGGGCUCCAGAAGGAGCUCCAGUUGGCCACCGAGAAGAGUGUGGCUUCCAGUGCCGGGCAGUCGAUGCCAAUGCCAUACAACAUGAACAACGCCGGCUACAUGGACACCAGCGACAUAAUGGUGGGGGUGACUAAUGGUGCCAUGGCCCCCAGCCACAACGUCGUUCCAUCUCCCGGACUGGGAAUGGUCACCCCGAAGGUGGAGCUGUACGAGGUGCAGCACCAGAUCGUGUCCACCCUCCACGAGUUCACCAGUUGCCGCAACGCUCUGAACGGCCUCGUCCAGAACUACACCUAUAUGAUGAACUCGAUGCCAUCGCCCAACGCCGAGGUGCUCCUCAAGAGCCUCCUUGACGAGAAGGCCUCCAUUGUCAAUCUACUGCGGCGCAGCUUUAUGUACUACGAGACCCUGAACGACCUGGUCAUCCACGAGCUGAAGAACUGGCGGCGCCAGCAGGCCCUCGCCGGCAACGGAGCUGCCUUCAACGAAGGCGCCCUGGACGACAUCCAGCGCUGCUUCGAGAUGCUGGAGGCACUGGUGGCCCAAAUGCUAGAGGCUGUCAACGAGCUAAUUCGCGUGCAGCUGGGCACCGAUGAGCCAGAACUAAUCCAUCUGCGGGAGCAGGUGAAGAUUGCACAGAAGAACCUGGUGAUAUCCGCCUUCAUAGUGGACAAGCAGCCGCCGCAGGUGAUGAAGACCAACACACGCUUUGCCGCCUCGGUGCGCUGGCUCAUUGGCUCCCAGCUGGGCAUCCACAACAACCCACCCACCGUGGAGUGCAUCAUUAUGUCAGAAUUGCAGUCGCAACGCUUCGUGUCCCGCGGCACCCAGCUGGAAAGCACCAUGUCCGGGCAAUCCUCGGGUGAAAUUCUAAACGCCUCCAGCAGCAUGGAGUACCAGUCGAACAACCACGUCUUCUCCGCCAGUUUCCGCAACAUGCAGCUGAAGAAAAUCAAGCGUGCCGAGAAGAAGGGCACUGAGAGCGUCAUGGACGAGAAGUUCGCUCUCUUCUUUUACACAACCACGUCGGUGAAUGACUACCACAUCCGCGUCUGGACCCUUUCUCUGCCUGUGGUGGUGAUCGUGCACGGCAAUCAGGAGCCCCAGUCGUGGGCCACCAUUACCUGGGACAAUGCCUUCGCGGAGGUUAUCCGCGAACCGUUUGUAAUCACCGAUCGGGUCACCUGGCCCCAGCUAUCGGCGGCACUAAACACAAAGUUCGGAUCCAGCACACAGCGCUUCCUGACGGCGGACAACCUGGAGUUCCUCUUUGAGAAACUUCAGCGGGAGGAGCGCUCCGAGUAUAUUACGUGGAACCAAUUCUGCAAGGAGCCCAUGCCCGACCGGACGUUCACUUUCUGGGAAUGGUUCUUUGCCAUCAUGAAACUCACCAAAGACCACAUGUUGGGCAUGUGGAAGGCUGGCUGCAUCAUGGGCUUCAUCAACAAGGCCAAGGCGCAGGAUGCCUUGUUGCGUUCGAAUACGGGAAUCGGGACCUUCCUGCUUCGCUUCUCCGACAGCGAGCUCGGUGGUGUCACCAUUGCCUACGUGAACGAAAUGGGAUCGGUCACCAUGCUGGCUCCUUGGACGGCCCGUGACUUCCAGGUCCUUAACCUGGCUGAUCGCAUCCGCGACUUGGAUGUUCUUCGCUGGCUUCACCCCUCUGACACCACUAUGGUGGCCCAGCUGCGCGACCGCGCCUUCGGCGAGUUCUUCUCGAGGCGUCAGGAACGAAACCCCCGCUCUCUAGAACCCUCCCCCGGAUAUGUGCCGAGCACGCUGCACGUCCAGGUCUGUAGCAGCAACGGCGAUGGUGGAUCCAUCAGCGGCACUCCGCAGCACGUGCCGCAGCAAGACACCUUACCAAUGGGAAAUGUUUCGCCAUUGAGCAUUGUGCCCUAUUUGAAUAGCCCACGAACUGAGGAUUCCGAUUCCGAUGACAGCCAGGUGGCCGAAGCACUGGGCCAGAUCCUUGCUAAUACCCCGCCCAACCACCCCCUCUUGGAUCAGUUCAAUAACUCGCUCCUGGGUAUCACAGAGAUCAGUAACGCCUUGAGGGAUAGCCUAAUAAGUGACGAGUCACCAAGUGCCAGUGAUCUAGUGGACGAACUGAUGAGGGAUGACGAUAAUCUCGUGCUGCGAUCCUGUAGAUCGGGAGUUAGAAAUUUUUAUUGACAAGAAAAGAGAUAAAACACGCUGUGCCAUUGCCUUCACUCUGUCUAUCUAAUCUGCCACCGGUUCUGACACUUACCGCAAGCGGUGAUUUCGGAAUGACGGACUUUGAUUCGAUGACGAACUUUGAGCUUUUGUGAAUCGCCAAACAACCUCCAGAACAACAUCCACCACAACAACAUGAAUUUGAACUACCAGAGCAAUGCAUGCAAAUUGCGACACCUGAACACAAACACCUUUGCCACACAACCAGAACAUUUCUUAUAUCGUGAUUAUGAUUGUGUCUGACGUAUGCAGCCAGUUCCUUAUGGAAUGCCUGCCUUGUAUAAACCUAUGGAAUGUGUCCCGAGCAUGUGUUAUUCGUUUUGUAUUUUUAUGUAUAACUCUUUAUAUAUGUAGACAUAUACUUUGAUUUUUUUGUACCAUUGCGUUUUUCUGUGACAAAGCAUUACUUUUAAACGAUGCGACCUGCGACCGAUGGCGAGGAUAACUGGCUGGCGGAGCAUCGCUUUAGUUAGUUAGUAACUAUUUGUUGAAUCUAAAUUUAUGAGUUUAAUUUGAAUCGAUUACGUUUAACAACUAAGUGUAAAAUUUACCAUAUUUUGCGUGCUAAGACCUAUGUUUAGAGCGAUUUAGAGCGACGAAGAGGAAAUCGAACGACGAGCAGCCCUGCGAGAUAAGAAUUGCGUUAAUUUUAGUUAUGUAUCAUGUAAGAACCAUUGUGAAUUUGCUUUAUGUCAAAACACCCUCCUUUAAUUGGCUUCCAAUGCUGAAAGUGCGUAAAAUUUAACCAAUCCAUGUAUAUUUUUAGUUUGUUUGAGUCAGGGCACAGAUUGCAAUGCAUUUCAAAUGCAAUAGCCUAUUGCCUUUAGUCAGUUUACCAGAGACACGAGGGGAACCAACACAAAGUUUAUAUAUAUGCGACAAUGUAAGCAUAAUCAUCUAUGUAACAACUACAAUAACACACGAGUACACUAAGCUUUGCACGUGAACCUUUAUAAGACUUAAGACCACCCUCAAAAUAAAUGAGUAACUUAGUAAACAUUUCAAAAACACUUAACGCCCAGAGUGGAGUUUGUAGCGAGUGACCUUGUUCACUAUUUGAGAACCUAUAUCCGAAAUGUCAAUUGGUGUACGUCAAGUUUUUAAUAUAUAAUUGUGAAAACUCGCGCACAAACGCAUUCCCCAAACACACAAUCAGACACCGACACUGACACCCACCCACUACCCUCAGAACACACACACUUCGAUACACAACGACGAGCAGACAGGCUCGCCAAAAACCAUGUUGAUAUUUGGGAAUCGUAAUGUCCUGUCCACACUGUGUACUCGACCUAAUUGUCUACAUUGUGUAAGUGUUUUAAAUGUAAUUUCAAACGAUAAUUGGGUGUGCAGUUUCGAAACGUUAAGUGGGAAGUAACUAAAGAACUAUUCUUGUCAAAAUGGCCAAUAAAGAUUUGAUUUUAAAAAUUAAA